GAUCAUGGCUCAGAUUGAACGCUGGCGGCAGGCCUAACACAUGCAAGUCGAGCGAGAAAGGUCUUCGGACUGAGUACAGCGGCGGACGGGUGAGUAAUGCGCAGGAAUCUACCUGGUAGUGGGGGAUAACUCGGGGAAACUCGAACUAAUACCGCAUACGCCCUACGGGGGAAAGCGGGGGACCUUCGGGCCUCGCGCUAUCAGAUGAGCCUGCGUAGGAUUAGCUUGUUGGUGAGGUAAAGGCUCACCAAGGCGACGAUCCUUAGCUGGUCUGAGAGGAUGAUCAGCCACACUGGAACUGAGACACGGUCCAGACUCCUACGGGAGGCAGCAGUGGGGAAUAUUGCGCAAUGGGCGAAAGCCUGACGCAGCCAUGCCGCGUGUGUGAAGAAGGCCCUUGGGUUGUAAAGCACUUUCAAUUGGGAAGAAAGGUUGCGUGUUAAUAGCACGUAGCUGUGACGUUACCUUUAGAAGAAGCACCGGCUAACUCCGUG
rnacentral:rRNA from 1 species